rnacentral:rRNA from 1 species
GGGGGGGCAUGUGCACAGUCCUCUUACCUUUUUUUCCACACAACACCUGUGCACCUUUUGUAGACUUUUCCUCGCUGGCCCUCGAAAGAGAAAAGGCAAGGGAAGGAUCUAUGUUUUUCAUAACAUCACACACGUCGUAUGGCUAGAAUGAAAUACAUAUCAUAUACAACUUUCAGCAACGGAUCUCUUGGCUCUCGCAUCGAUGAAGAACGCAGCGAAUUGCGAUAAGUAAUGUGAAUUGCAGAUUUCCAGUGAAUCAUCGAAUCUUUGAACGCACCUUGCGCUCCUUGGUAUUCCGAGGAGCAUGCCUGUUUGAGUGUCAUUUAAAUUCUCAACCAAAUCCUCGCUUUCGAGCAAGGGUUAUGGCUUGGACUUGGGGGUUGCUGGCGGAAACGUCGGCUCCCCUUAAAUGCAUUAGCAAUCCAGUCAUGCCAGUCUUUUGACAUGCACGGCCUCGGACGUGAUAAUCAUCAUCGUCCUCGCUGGAGUGUCUUUCCAUGAAGACUGUGCAUGCGGGGGAUCGCUUCCAAUCGCCAAAAGCGCGUCUCGGUCUAGCUUAGCUUACUAGGCAGUCAAACUUCUUUGGCUGGCGAACGCAAGCAAAGAUCAUCAGGGGACUCUCUUUAUUUCAAAGACAUUGACCUCAAAUCA